rnacentral:rRNA from 1 species
GACGAACGCUGGCGGCGUGCCUAAUACAUGCAAGUAGAACGCAGUUGCGAACGGGUGAGUAACGCGUAGGUAACUGCCUCAUCUCGGGGGAUCACUAUUGGAAACGAUAGUUAAUACCGCAUACUGUGGGAUUGACCUGAGUUGUAUUACCUAGUUGGUUAGGUAAAGGCUCACCAAGGCGCCCAUCCAUAGCCGACCUGCGAGGGUGGUCGGGCGAACUGGGAAUGGGACACGGCCCAGACUCCUACGGGAAGCAACAGGUAGGGAACUUCGGCAAUGGACGGAAAUCUGACCGAGCCACGCCGCGUGAGUGGAGAAGGGUUUCGGAGCGGAAAGCUCUUUUGUUUGAGUAACGGUAACUAACCAGAAAGCGACGGCUAACUACGUGCCAGCAGCCGCGGUAAUAC